UUGGAGGGCAAGUCUGGUGCCAGCAGCCGCGGUAAUUCCAGCUCCAAUAGCGUAUAUUAAAGUUGUUGCAGUUAAAAAGCUCGUAGUUGAAUUUCGGGAUCAGUACGCCGGUCGUGCCUUCGGUAUGCACUGGUGUCACUGGUUUCUCCCUCCUGAAGAACCAUCAUGCCAUUAAGUUGGUGUGGCGGGGAAUCAAGACUGUUACUUUGAAAAAAUUAGAGUGUUUAAAGCAGGCUCGCGCUUGAAUACAUUAGCAUGGAAUAAUGAAAUAGGACGUUUGACCCUAUUUUGUUGGUUUCUAGGAUCGACGUAAUGAUUAAUAGGGAUAGUUGGGGGCAUUAGUAUUCAAUUGUCAGAGGUGAAAUUCUUGGAUUUAUUGAAGACUAACUACUGCGAAAGCAUUUGCCAAGGAUGUUUUCAUUAAUCAAGAACGAAAGUUAGGGGAUCGAAGACGAUCAGAUACCGUCGUAGUCUUAACCAUAAACUAUGCCGACUAGGGAUCGGAUGAUGUUAAUUUUUUAAUGACUCAUUCGGCGCCUUACGGGAAAC
rnacentral:rRNA from 1 species